rnacentral:rRNA from 1 species
UGGCGGCCAUAGCGCGGUGGACCCACCUGAUCCCAUGCCGAACUUAGAAGUGAAACGCCGUAGCGCCGAUGGUAGUGUGGGGUCUCCCCAUGCGAGAUUAGGACACUGCCAGGUA